rnacentral:rRNA from 1 species
UACAGAGGUCUCAAGCGUUGUUCGGAUUCAUUGGGCGUAAAGGGUGUGUAGGUGGCGCGCUAAGUCGGGUGUGAAAUUUCGGAGCUUAACUCCGAAACUGCAUUCGAUACUGGCGUGCUUGAGGACUGGAGAGGAGACUGGAAUUCAUGGUGUAGCAGUGAAAUGCGUAGAGAUCAUGAGGAAGACCAGUGGCGAAGGCGGGUCUCUGGACAGUUACCGACGCUGAGGCACGAAAGCUAGGGGAGCAAACAGG